rnacentral:rRNA from 1 species
GACGAACGCUGGCGGCGUGCUUAACACAUGCAAGUCGAACGGAAAGGCCCUGAUUUUGUGGGGUGCUCGAGUGGCGAACGGGGGAGUAACACGUGAGUAACCCGCCCUUGUCUUUGGGAUAUCUUCAUGAAACUGGGGCUAUAACCGGAUAGGAGCUCUUGAUGCAUGGUGGGGGUUGGAAAGUGUCGGCGGUUGGGGAACGACUCGCGGCUUAACAGCUUGAUAGUGGGGUAGGGGCUUACCAAGGCUUUGACGGGUAGCCGGCAUGGGAGGGUGACCAGGCACAUUAUGACUGAGGGAAGGCGCAGACUGCUACGGGCGGCAGCGGUGGGGAAUAUUACACAAUAGGCGGAAGCCAGAUGCAGCAACCCCGCGUGCGGGAUGACGGCCUUCGAGUUGUAAACCGCUUUCGCCUGAGACGAGCAGUGAGUGACGGUAAUGGGUCAAGAAGCACCGGCUAACUACGUG